UACGUAGGGUGCAAGCGUUACUCGGAAUUACUGGGCGUAAAGCGUGCGCAGGCGGUUCGCUAAGACCGAUGUGAAAUCCCCGGGCUUAACUCGGAACGGCCAAGUGAAACUGUCAUGCUAGAGUGCAGAAGGGGCAACUGGAAUUCUCGGUGUAGCGGUGAAAUGCGUAGAUAUCGAGAGGAACACCUGCGGCGAAGGCGGGUUGCUGGGCUGACACUGACGCUGAGGCGCGAAAGCUAGGGGAGCGAACGGG
rnacentral:rRNA from 1 species